GAUGAACGCUGGCGGCGUGCCUAAUACAUGCAAGUCGAGCGAACAGACGAGGAGCUUGUUCCUCUGACGAUAGCGGAGGACGUGUGAGUAACACGUGGAUCACCUACCUAUCAGACUGGGAUAACUUCGGAAAACCGGAGCUAAUACCGGAUAAUAAAGUGAACCGCAUGGUUUAAUUGUGAAAGACGUCUUUUCUGUAACUUAUAGCUGGCUCCGCGCCGCAUUAGCUAGUUGGUAAGGUAACGGCUUACCAAGGGAACGAUGCGUGGCCGACCUGAGAGGGGGAUCGGCCACCCUGGAGCUGAGACACGGUCCAGACUCCUACGACAGGGAGCAGUAGGGAAUCUGACGCAAUGGGCGAGAGCCUUACAGAGCAGCGCAGCGUGAGAGAUGACGGUGUUGGGUUCGGAAAGCUCUGUUACUAGUUAUGAACCAAUGUCUAAGUAACUGUACACAUCUUGACGGUACCUAAACAGAAAGCCACGGCUAACUACGUG
rnacentral:rRNA from 1 species